AAUAUUACUUCUUUUUCAGCUGCAACUGAGGUGAGCGUUGAGAUUCCCAUCGGAUUUUAAGAGGGAUGUGAUAGACGCCAGAUAACAAUUAUUUGUUAUUCUAUAUUUUACAGUCAGUGGGAAUACCCACAACAGCCCAUUCCCACACAGUCCCAUCUUCCUUCUUGAGGAAAAGUUGUGGAGAAAAUGAACUGGAGAAGAGGAAUGGUAGUGACAGUGCUUGAUAUGCUACUGGAAAGUCCCAGGGUACUGUGGUAGAAGGGACCUGCAUGUUGCAGAAUAAGUAUCCAAUCAUACAUAUUGAUAAAUGCCCAACAUAUUGACAGCGACUUGGAGUCAACAACAGAAAAUGUAGAUCAUGGCUAUUACAUGAAAUUUCUGAGAUUAGACAAUCCUUAAUCUUUCUGAGCAGCUUAAAAUAAUAAAAAUAGAUCAAACAAGUGAAAUGGAGGGUGACAAAUGGCAUGGGUUGAUAUUUUGUUUUCUUGAGAUAGGCAGAAGACGGUAUAAUAGAGGCAUUGGCUGCAUUGAUCUGCUGCCUGUGUUUCACUUCAGUGUAAAUUUACUAGGGAAGAGCAAGAACUAGUAGAUUAAUAUUAAAAUUAUUUCAGCAGUUCAGUUCUCAUGGGCAACUCUUCCUCCACUUGUGAGCCUUGUGGAAUUCAUCAUCCUUAUUCAGCACAAGUUUAAGUCCCACUGACACCAAUACAUUUCGGUAUAUGCUUAAACACUUUGUGGAAGCCUGGUGCAUUUUUCUGAGGAGUUUGACAAAGCUGAGGUUUUCAUCUCUUUAUCCUCUAAGAUACUACAGACAUCAAUAUCAAUGAUACAUGGAGGUCUACUCAGCUUCAAAUAGCAUUCUUAACACGCAGAUUCAGCUUUUUUACCAAUAUCUCACUACAUGAAACACUUGAAUGAGAAGUAGUGCUAGGUCAUGAUAAGCUCAUGUGACACAGGUAUGCUAACAGUAGAAAGAAGAACAGUUUUUUUUUUUUCCUUUUACUCAAAAUUACAUUUUUGUAAAAUGCAUUUCCUGUCUUCCUCCUGAUAUUUCAGCAUAUGCCAGAUUCCUUCCCAGAGUUCAUGGAUUUUUCAAUUGCAAAUUACCUCUGAAACAUGUAUCAUAACUCUUUUACACCUGUGCUUAUUGAUUUACCUAGUUAUGAUAUGCAGUUGGUACUUUGGUUGAUACUAACUGAUUAUUCUAAAAAAAAAAAAAGAAUGUAUAUAGCAAAAAACCCAAGUAAAAUAACUAUUUUCAGAAACAGAUAUUCCUCAAUAUCAGAAAUAUCCCAGUAUACCUGGCCUUUUACUUAUAUCUAUAUUUUUUCUUAAAAAUUUUUAAUAGUGCAAAUGUAACAACCUUAUCAGUAUGUGACAGAAAACUUUUAAAAUGAAAAUAAUAUUUCCAGUGUACAAGUCUUGCCGAGCUGAAUAAUAGUAGAUAUCUUCAUAAAAAUGAUCUUAAACCAAGGAUCUUCAUUGCUGCUCAUUUUCAUUGUCUGACUAUUUUCAUAAACUCAGUAAAUAUAGCUAAGAGAAAUGAUCUUUAUGAAAAGGCAUGAAUAAAGAUGAAAAGAAUUCUCUAGUCAGAGAUCUUCAAUACUACUUACACUUCAUUAUUGGAAGCCUUUAGUUUUGUUCCAGAAAAAAAGAGACAUUAGCAAAGCUUUUAAAUGUUUUUUGAGUCAAACGCAACCCAGUAACACUGACAACAGAGGUGGCAACUCUUGUGCUUGUGCCAUCUGAUAAAGUUAAGGUUACGUGAUAGAUAAGGUUGUAUGGUUCAAGUCCAGCUUUCACAAACUCAAAAAACCCAUUAUUGUAUCAAAUCUGAUUUUUUCUGUUUCUCAGGCUGCCACUUGGUCCCUGUUCUAAGCCCAAACACUUUAGCUGGGGUGAAGUAUUUUACUGGCUUAUCUGGCAGAGAGCAGGGAGCUUCAGUGUUCUGUUCCUGCAGUAGGACGAUUUCAGCUCCUGUGCUGAAGACUUUUAUUUCUCUCUUGCCUUCACCUCUCCAAAUCUGUAUGAUCAUAAACCUGAUAACAUGACACAUUGACCACACCACAGAAGGAUGAAGAUUCUUCAUGACACCUCUGAUCUAUGAAUCCGAGUGUGCUGAACCUACCAAUGUCCAGCCUCAGAGGAGAGCAAAUCAAGCAAAUACACUGACAAUUUGGGAUGGUGGAAGUGGGAGGAGGUAAGAAACAGAUCCCGUUUGAUUUUCAGGACAAAAUGCUGAAGUGUUGUAACUACAUGCAAAGCUAAGAUAAAGCUGUGCUUUUUGUUGAAUUUUUUUCAUGAAGAAAGAAAAGCUGCACUGAAGUUGUUUUGCCAACACUAGCAAAACGUGGCAUCUGGAAGAUGCAUCUGCUUGGUUGACUUUCAGUGUUUGGAGUAACAAAGUUUGGCUGUUGAGAGGAAAGCAUAAAGGCGUUUUUGUAACUCGCACUGUAGAAUUACAGCAAAAAUUAUUGGGUCUAACUUACUUCUACUGCAAAACCCUGAAGAACAACCGAUGUGUUCAUGGAGAUGUAUUUAGUUCGUGGUGAUACAACAGUACUUGUAGAACAGAAAAAAAAUAAUCCCCCAUCCUCACUGGGUAGCUCAUGAAAAUCUCAUUAAUAGAAGAGUUCAACUUUGUCAAGUUCCUUAAGGCAAUUUUUUUUAUGAAGAUAGUGAUUUUUUUACCAGCGACUGAAAGGUGAAUUGCCCUCGGGUAACACAUAUAUGUGGAAAUACCCCAAGAUCUUUUCACGAUGAAGAGACUGUAUUACUGGUCAUGUUUCAUUUUUUUUUUUUUAAUUAGAUUGCAAGUGGGGAAUUUUAAAAGCACUGGCAUAUAACAUAUUACAAAUUGUCCAUCAGAAGUUCUAUGAUAAACUUUCAUUUUUAGGUUGGGUUGUAUAAAAUCUCAUUUCAGACUGAUAGUCAGCAGUAAAAAAAGUUGGAAACCAUGCUGCAGAGGAGCUGAGGUGUAUUUAUCUCGUAUUUCAAAAUCACUUCUCAGAAAUUGAAAUCUUGUAUUUAUGCCAUCAGUAAGGUCUUAAUGUAAGCUUUUGUAACUAAAAAUGAUAGUUCCUGGCAUAGGAACUAAAACCUGAAGGGCUGAAGCUACAAAAAGAAGACGUACAGUAUCAAAUUUUCAGAGAUAUUUAAGCUCCUGACUUCUUAAUUGAAAACAGUGGGAGGCAUCAAUGGAAACACCUGUGGAGAUCUGAGUCCCAAGUACAGUAAAAUUACUGAUAAAAUGCAUUGCCUGGUGCCUGCAGGAGCUUCGGGAACGGUGAGUUAAGCACAGGAAGGGGGAAACACAAAGUCUGAGCAUGCUGCUUAGAGAGCUGCGUGAGCCUGGGUGGACACGGAGAAGUGGGCUGUCUUUACUCUUGAACUCAGACCUAAAAAAGGAUUUGGGAGAAGGUUUCAUAAGACUGCUAAACUGGUAAGCUCACCUCAUAGUCCAAACUGUAUCUUCCUCUGCUACCUUUCUGUCAACUCAGGUGAUCUUCUGGUCCCAUUAUUGAGACCUAUUUGCUUGCUAAACCCACAGAAAUCAAACUUGGGGGAAAAAAAAUGAACUAAUUUCUGUGCAAGUAAAUAGCAUUCAUAUUUAAUGAACUGCACUGGAUUUCUGUGGGAUAAGACAAGUGUUAGAGCCAGAGUGUGUGAAAAGCAUGUAGCUAAAGUAAGGGAGAAGACAGUGAAGCUGAAUUUCAACCUUUUAAGGCAAGAAUCCCGUAGUUCGGGUUGCUUCAUAAUAACUAGCACAGCUGUGGUGCUGCAUUGUGUUUUGUACAACCCAGUGCCUUAGACCUUCUCUUAGUAUGUGACCUCACUUUCCAGUCGAGGAGGAAGAGGGAUCAUGAGCACUCUGACCUCAUGCAUGGGCUGUACAUAUCAGGAAGCCUGGCUUAGCAGGUCACCCUUCGCAUGCAAAAAAGGUGGUUUAUGUCUGCAUCUCCAUUUCCCAGGAGAGCACUGGAGCUGCUGGGCUCUGAAGGUACCUUUCCUCUCAGCCUUUCCUGCUGAAGCCACGUUGAUGUUCAGUGGAGAAUGUGGCAGCGUUGGGGAUGAAGAGGAAGGGCAACCCUGGGUAUGAUGACUCCACCACUGCCCUGGGCAGCCUGUUCCAAUGCCUGACAACCCUUUCCAUGAAGAAUUUUUUCCGAAUAUCCAAUCUGAACCUCCCCUGGUGCAACCUGAGGCCAUUUCCUCUUGUCCUGUCGCUUGGUACUUGGGAGAAGAGACCAACACCCUCCAUGCUACAACCUCCUUUCAGCCAUCAUGAAGUUUUUGUGUUCCUGAAGAAAUGGACCCUGAAGAGAAGCACAUCCAUGGAUCCUUGACUGUAAGAGCCCACUGGAGACAGAGCAGUGUGAAGUAGCUGGAGCAGAGGAUGGAGAGCAGAAUCUUCCUACAAAGAUACAAAGUGGAACCAGGAAAGGUGGAAUCCAUCCAGCAAAGAGGUCCAUGGGCAUGGGACUACAGAGGAAGCAGGAAAAAAGGGUGUGCUGUUAGCAAAAAGGAAAGAUUGACGUCUGGUGAUCAAAGUAGGAGGUCAGCCUGCUUCACAGGCAGCAUUUUCAUUUCUAGGCUUUUAGUUUUAAAGCUGAUGUCAAGAGGACAGAAUAGAAGGCAGGAAUGUGGUUCGCAGAUAUGUGUCUGGGAAAAGAUUCUGCAUGUUCUGAGAAAUAGUUAUUUUGAUGAGCACAUUUUACCAUUAUUGACGAGCACAGCUGGUAUUUGACUGGGAUAUAGCAAAAGUGGUGUCUCCAGAGAUGAUGAUAUGACACCCCUCUAAAAUGGGUUAGAAAAACUUGAAUGCAGUCUUUGAAUGUAGGGAAACUGUACUGAAAUUCAGGAGCUGCAGUUAACUGGAGAUGAGUAAGAUCAAACAGUGUUUUUCCAAGUACGAUAUUCUAUUGUACACAGGGACCUAAUCUAAAUUUGUGGAACAAAUUUCAUGACACAGAACAAUCUUUGCAUAGCCUAACUUAGGGUUUCACACAGAAGUAAUUUUUUUGACAUAUGUGUCAUUAGUUGUUUUAUUUCAUUGUAAAAUGCUGGGAAUUUCAUUAGUGGACAUGUCCAUGCUGAAAUGUAAGACAGACAAAUGGUGUUUACUUGCACUAUUUCUCGCCUACAUAUAACUUCCUUUCCUUGGUUGUGAAUCUCUUGGACAAGUAUGUCUCUCCGUUCUGUGCUGGUAUAAACAGAUCUUCCAACCUUCCUCUCUUCAUUUCCACAUGGAGUUUCAUGUGGUAGAAAAGCAUGAAGCUGGGGAACCUACUAUCUGGCAAGUUCUCUGAGUGCACUGAGUGACAGUGCCUGAAUGUGGGACAGUGUGCCUAUAUGUUUUAUGCUGUGGCUUCAAACACCACUAGGAUUUUGGUGCAAAUCUGCAGAUCAGGACAACAAAAUGUACAAAGUGUGAGGCUUUCUCUUACACAGGCCAGUGUUAUUCAGAAUUUCCUAGGCUAGUGGGAUUACUGUUGCUCUACUUUAUAUUGUUCAUACAUAAGGGAGGAAACAGAUUCCUGAGAGCAGAGCUCAUUCACAGGAACAGACCUGAGAAUUUGUCCCACAUCUCGUUCAAGUUGAGUGUUUUGACUGUGCUAUGUAUCCUCUGAAUUGUAGUGCUAUCUCAGACAACACUGCUCAUCCAAACCCGAGUCUUAUCAAAAUGCAGAUUUGUGUGGACUGACUUAGAAAUUGCUUGUCCUAGUUAGAAAGACUUGAAACAGAAUGAGAAACGGGAAGGAGUGGAGGUGGUAGGUACACCAAGCUGAGAAUACAGAAUAAAUGGUUGGGUAAAACUGAAAAUAAGAAUAGAAGGUGGCAAGAAAUGCCUUGUCUUUACUAAGUAUUUGGUAGUAGUACUUUUAAUAACAGAAAGCUAUGUAAGAGACCACAUGGGGGCAGGGCUAAAUCAAAGAUCAAUAUUUCUGUGAAUAUUCCUGAUAUUUAUGUUGAAAUGGUCAUUUCACAGGAAUGUCUCACCUGUGCCGGCUCUAGUUGUGCAAAUGGGUAAGUAAAGUCUGAUGUAAACACAGGAAGAUCGCUGAUCAGUCUAAAAUAAGUAUGUACCUUCUAGUGAGCUCUGUUUGAUUAGAGAUCCUCUCUGAAACUUCUACAUGGUUUUUUUCAAUGCAGCAUAUGCUCUAGUCAUUGGUCUCUGUCUAGUGUAGGAAGCAGAGAUCAUGCUAGACUAGAUCAUGCUUUUGCCAAGAAAGUUUGGACCAGAUGAUCCUUGUGGUCCCUUCCAACCUGGUAGUCUAUGGUUCUAUGAUUCUGUGAUUUCUUUGCCUGGCUUUGGCUGUCCAUAAAAAAUGGCUGAUUGACAUAAUCAAAUUGAGUUUCCAUAGCCCACUGGAACUUCAUGGCAUAUAUGGCACAAAAAAAUUUGAUACGAUAUGAAAGUAGUAAGAAAAAAUAUAAUUUGAUAGUACAUACACUAGGGAUUGCAGAUUUGUGGAGCUCUAGAAAUUGAGCCCUCAGGAUUGAAACAAGAGAUAUUGAUUCUUGAGAAUUAUACUGUGUGAUGUUUGAAGACAAGUUACCAUCAUUCGAGUUUGUAGGAAGUGAAUAUUAAUUCCCCAGAUUUAUUGUUGGAGGCACAGUGUAUGUUAAUGAACUAACAAAGAAUACAUAACAUGAAACCUGAUGCUGUAGGCUUUCCAUAACACAACAAACUGACUAAAUCCAGCCCCCUGAGGCUAUUUGGAUUUUAAGGGAUUAAAAAUUUUGGCUAAGGGUAUUCAUAUUAUGAGUCCUUUUAAUUGCUGUUUCUGUAGCUUUUUUGUGCUCAAUGUGCAUUAACCUGUAAUAACUAGGGAUAUAUACAUUCUACGGCUGUGGUCCUCACUAAAAAGUCUAAUAUGUGGUUUAAAUCACCAACACAAGGCUAGUGGCCCGGAGGCUAAAUCCUUAACCUGUACCAACUCCUUAAGGGUCGCAGGUGAUUACACAGGCUUGUAGAUAGAGCACAUGCACAGUGGAGAGUGCUGCUCCCUUAAUCAGCUUCAUGCAUUGUAUUACUUAAUUGAAAAUGCUAAUUACAUAACUGUUAAAUUGUUAGUAAUCAGGAAUCAGUGUGUCAUUAAUCUGAAAUUGGUAUAAUUGCAGGAUGCACAAGUGUGGGAUUUCGUUGGUGAGGCUGAACAAUUAAUUUAAUUUCCUAAUGACAAAUGUGUCAUAAAUUGUUAUUAUACAAAUAAUAAUUAAGUGCAAAAGUAUUUUUCUUUGAUUUCAAUCAUAUUUAUUUACUUUUUAGACAAGCAAAAUACUUGAGAACUUUUUUUUUUUUUUAAUAGUUUUUCUGAAUUUCAGAUAUAAACAUAUCCACGACUAUUUUACCCCAGCAUGGGUUUUUCCUAGGGCUGUCCUAGCUUCAGAAAGAAAGAGGGAAGCAAAAUAAUCAGCGCUUCCUUACAAAUGGAGCAAGACUCUCUGCUGGGCCCAGUCAGCCAAGUUGCAUUACCAAAUGCAUCUAGGUUAUAGAAACUCAGUCCUGGUCCUUUUCUUAUACAGGAAUUCAGUAUCCCUUUUAGGUGCAAAAAAUCCUGUCUAUGGACUAGGACUCAGUCCAAGUCUCUGUGGGUGUUUAGUGCUUGUCCUUGUUGCACAUACUUUAGAAGUGGUAGUUAUUAAUAUGAUUUUUCUAUGGAGGAAAGUGAGUGCACAUCUGGCUACUUAAUACAUGAUUCUCUGUGCUACAUUCCUUUGGGGGGACAAACAGUUAAGUUGGAGGUAAUUUUCUUAAUUUUGUAAACAUUUUUGUGAUUUAUAUACCUUGUUUGGGCAUGUGCAACAAUUCUUUAUUUCGAGGGGUAAGCAAAGCUUGGCCUUACUGCGCACUGGUUGCAUCCAUCAGAGGACAGUGAAAUAUCACUGGUUUUACUAGCUGACUUUGCAAUGCUUCGGUAUUAAUUUUCAGAACAGCACCUCUGAUUCACACCUCAGCUUCCCACCCCCUCCUUCUGCCAAGGUCUGGUUUGUCCAAACUGAACUUGUGCCCUUUGCUAUGAAAACCAAGAAAGGGAGAUAUGGCAAGUUUCAUGUGGGUCCGGGGAUCUCAAUGGCUUGAAGUCUCUUUGCUAGGUAUGAAAUGUUUUCUCUCUCUACCUAGGAAGAUGCCAUCACAUCUGCGGAGGUACCGCAAUGCUCAAUAUGCCCUGGAGACCAAGGGUGUCACGUUAUAUUCAUCUCAUCAAAGCAGAACAGAGACGCACAAAGUGGCAAGAAUCAAACCUAUUUGCAAUAGCUUUUUAAUUCCUCUGACUCCUGUGGAAAAUCUAGUGCAUCACUGGAUAGGCAAGUUUGACUGUAUCUCUUCAUUCCUUAGCUAUUGCUUUUACGCUUACUGUGGUUUGUUUCCGAAGAGGUUAUACACUUCUAUAAGCCAGGUGAACAUAUAUGUGGAUGUGUCCAUUAAUAUUGCACCACACUGCAAUUUCUACUUCCAAUUUCAUCAGAAAAACAGAAUAUAAACAUGCACAUGUAAAUUCAGUCUUGUUCAUUGUUCAGCCUCAAGCCACAGUGGAGUAAACUUUCCAUGCAGCAUGUGAGAAAUUACGCAUACCAGCAGCUGUGAACAUCUAAUUUCCCCUGCAGGGUGUUGACAAUGUUCUCCAUUGUAAUGUGCUUCACUAAUUACAUACUGCACUGGCCAUGGAAGCCUUCCACUAUCCCAUGGCAGAAUAGUAGGAUUCCUACAGCUUUUUCAUUUAAUUGAAAGUGAGUAUGAGAUACCAUUUCUAUUGUCUUCUGGGAUCCAGUGAGGCUUCUACAAACUGCAGAAUUUUAGACAACUGGUUAAUACUAUGUUAUAUCAUUAGCUAGCCCUUGCUUUCAUUUGGAAACAACAACAACAAAACCCCAAAGAACAACAAAACAACCAAACUCCAAAUAAAAUCAAAGAGAAUGUUCUGUAGGCAGGCUUCUACAGAGAUGUGUCAUGCUGUCACUUAUAAAUUAGAUGGAAAAAGGGGUUGCCCUGCCAUUGCUCAAAAUUAAAACUGAAUAACAAGAAAAAACCCAAACCACAAAAUAAAACAAUGAGUAACUUCCUGGAGGGUUAGGAGGGUUUUUUCAGCAUUGCAAUACAGCUUAUUGAAUAAUUCUUUUGUAUUUAACCAAGAGUGAUUGUUUCACUGGAUAUACUAUGCUGUUUAGGUUCAAAAUGUGUUUUCACUUGCAUUAGUUAGUGCCUAAUCUUCCUACCUGUGAAUUAGCUUUGAGAAAAAUAGGAUUAAACAUGCAAAAAGUAGUCCUGAUUAGAAAAGAAAAAGAGAAAUCAAGCUUUCUGUAUAAAAAUAUAGUACAUUCCUAUACUUUAUAUUUUUAAUGGGUUUAUGUUGCACUGUGUAAAUUUAUAAUAAGUGUCUUCAAGCGGAGUCAGGCGAGAACAGACUGGAACACAUGGAGUACAGUGGGUCUUAAUAGGGAAUGUGCUUUAGCUGUGUUUGUACCUCUGUGAAAUGGAGGCACUGAAGCUUGCACUGCUCUGCAUCUCUUUCUGGCAGUGCAGGGUGUUUGAAGUGCCAAUUUUUGAAUAUACAGCAAAUAAAACAAGGUGCAUGGAGGUUACUUUAAAUUGCAAGCCUGUGGAGCUGAAGACGAUGUUUAUUUUUUGUCUGUGCUGAACUAAAAAGAGAUUUGCUAGAGAAGCUGUUCUGUGAUAGCAGCCAGGAGGCAAAGGUGAAUUUCACCGAGAAGAAUCUAAGUAAGAAGGAUGAGAGGGGCUCCAUCAAACAAGAUGAGCACGAGUUGCAUAACUAAGGAGAGAGCAGGGUUUCUUGCCAGCAGAGACUAGGUGAUACUUGUUUGUUACAUUUUUGUGAAUAUUUGAAAUUUUGUCAGGUGGGAAGGAGAGAAUUUUUAUUUCACAGCAUUAGCCGAAUACCUAUUUAUAUUCAUAGAUGUGGGAGUUUCAGGCAAUGCAGGUACAUGACUUUGACUGGGAUUUCUUUGAAGACUUUUAGACUUCUGCUUGUUUCAUAUUUGUCCCUCAAAAGAAGUUAAAUACUUUGAGCACUUGAUUCUGUGAGUUUGUUGUCAGUUGGGUCUUUUUGAAACAAAUUCUGCCAUUUACAAGGACAAGUGGAAUAGCUUAAAUGAAAGAAUAUUUAAAAAACCUUGAAAUAAAUUACUUCUGCAUUGGAGAGAUGUUUUUAGAAGCAUCAAGAUGAGUUAAUCUGACAAGAAUGCUAAGGUUUUAAUAUGCUAGUUUAUAUGCUUGAGGCACUCAGUAAUCAAAUGCCCGAGUACCGUAUGUACUGACAUUUACAAAUCACAAACAGAUUUAUAUAUUAUGAUUCCAGAACUUUAUCACAGCAAAAUCACACUCCGCUAUUUAAAACAGAUGACAGAAGUAGAAUUAAAGAUUCACACUUAUGAGAAUGUAAGCAGAUGUCUAGUGUUUAUUAUAUGGGACAGACAGUAAAAGAGGAAUGCAUUUAAAAUGCUCAAAUAGUCUUCUGAAUAAGGUGCAAACUGGAUGGCUACCCAGAAGAUUUAUACUGGGCAAGUCACUUUACCUCUCUGUUUUCCUCCUAUCAUGGAAUAAUUAUUCUUUUUCUGCUAUUCUUCAGUGUUCUUGCCCAUUUAGGCUGUGGGUUAUCCUGUGUAGGAAUUAAAGCUGCUUCAGAAUUUUUUCUUUUGAAUUAUUGGAUUUCUUAAGAAGCAACUCCUGUUCCCCCUUAAAACAUCCCUGAUUUGUCAAAAGUGAAAAUAUCUGGAAAAGCCAGCCCUACCUGAAACUGUGCAAGUUUGAAUAAUCUUGUUUUAGGAAAGCAAUCUCAGGACAGAAGGUUUCUAAAGUUGGGUGAUGUCUCCCAGAGCUGUCAUGAUGUUCUGAGCUAAGACAUUGAACUGUGAUAAGUGGGAGAACGGCACGGCAGAAAAUGAAUCCUGGAUUUCCUACAACCUGAGCAAACAUCCUCACACUGGACUCUCAAGGAAUCUGAGAUUUCUUUUUUCUUUUAUGGCAUGUCUGUGAUACAUGUGAAUAUUCGAGAGCUGUGUGUGGUUCUUGUUUAACACACACAGGGAGCACAGUCACCGCUCAAAGAACAAUGCUGACUCUCCUUUUUUGCAAUUAAGGUGUUAUUUAGUUAAGAAUUUAGUCUGCUGUGAAAUAAUAAACAUAAUAUGAACUAAUAUAAUCCUAAAAAUCAUGGAUAAGAUGUUUCUAAAUGGCUUAGUGUUGAGCAGUCUGUGGCAUCUAUGUGGUAGCACAUCCUGAGAGCAUUCAGUGUUGGCUUGGCUGGUGUGGAAACAUAGAAAGUUUCAUUUUCAACUAACGGAAUGGAUAGGCAUAAUAUUUAAGUCAAGCACUUAGAUGACAGCAUGAUUUCUGUGAAUUUAAAGGAGUUAAUUAAGUGAACAUGUGAGUGAGCAGUUGCAAUAACGGGAGUUCUGCACUAACAUUCAAGCUUCAUGUCACAGAGUUGUACCAUUCAGCCAAAUGCAUUCCAGUUUUGGCUCUACUGAUCUCAUUCUUUCUUGAGAUGUUCUCAGCACCUCGCUGCCACAGCUAUGAACACCACCAAUUAUGAAAUCUACAGCACUUAAAAUACUGCUAACAUUUUCCUAGUAAUGGAAGAAAUUAAGGUUUUUAUAUAAGCAGUGGGCGUUUUUUUGUUUUUUCUUUUACUUUGGCAGAUAUUCUCUAUCAGUCCUUUCCUACAGUAACUCAGUUUUAGUAUUUUGAAAGAAUUUUGAUGUAUUCUGAAAGAUUCUGCUCUCCUGAGAAUUGCAAAACAUUAUUUCAAAUGAAAUAAAAAAACCUAUCUGUACUCCUGGCAGAUGGGCCCAUCAGCAGUCAUAAAAAAAAGAAAUUAUAAUAAUUAUUAUUGCUAUAUAAGAUAUUAUAGCAGAAUUCCCAUCUAAAAAAAUAUUUAAGAUCUCAGUGCAAGAGUGGAAACACAGUGCACUUGAUAUCAUUUAAACCAAUAGAGAACAUACCUGCAAGAUAGACAGAAACAAUAAAAGCGCAGACUGUUCAUUUGCUUCA